rnacentral:RNase_P_RNA from 1 species
GGAGUGGUCCGGGUGAACGCUGGCCACCGCAGUCACGGGUGGCGGGAGGAAAGUCCGGGCUCCAGAGGGCAGGGUGCUGGCUAACGGCCAGUCGAGGCGACUCGCAGGAAAGUGCCACAGAAAACAAACCGCCCGUCCCGCAAGGGGCGGGUAAGGGUGAAACGGUGCGGUAAGAGCGCACCGCGUCCGGGGUGACUCGGACGGCACGGUAAACCCCACCUGGAGCAAGAGCCAAUAGGAGCGCGUCCCUCGCUGUUCGGGGGGACAGGGAUGGCCCGUCCCAGGCGUUCGGGUUGCUCGCUGAUGAGGUCCCUGGGCAACCAGGGCCCUAGAUGAAUGUUCGCCGCCCAUCCCGAAAGGGGUGGGAACAGAACCCGGCUUAGAGGACCACUCCGGCG